GGGGAUGACAGAAGAAAGAGGGAUGGAGAGGCAGGGUGAAGGGUAUUAGGUGGAGGAUGAGGAGAGGGGAUGACAGGAGAAAGAGGGAUGGAGAGGCAGGGUGAAGGGGAUUAGGUGGAGGAUGAGGAGAGGGGAUGACAGGAGAAAGAGGGAUGGAGAGGCAGGGUGAAGGGGAUUAGGUGGAGGAUGAGGAGAGGGGAUGACAGGAGAAAGAGGGAUGGAGAGGCAGGGUGAAGGGGAUUAGGUGGAGGAUGAGGAGAGGGGAUGACAGGAGAAAGAGGGAUGGAGAGGCAGGGUGAAGGGGAUUAGGUGGAGGAUGAGGAGAGGGGAUGACAGGAGAAAGAGGGAUGGAGAGGCAGGGUGAAGGGGAUUAGGUGGAGGAUGAGGAGAGGGGAUGACAGGAGAAAGAGGGAUGGAGAGGCAGGGUGAAGGGGAGGAUGAGAGAGGGGAUGACA